rnacentral:rRNA from 1 species
UUGGACCUGAUAUCAGACAGAC